ACGGAGGGUGCAAACGUUGCUCGGAAUCAUUGGGCGUAAAGCGCACGUAGGCGGACCGCUAAGUCGGAUGUGGAAGCCCUCGGCUUAACCGAGGAAGUGCAUUCGAAACUGACGGUCUUGGGUAUGGAAGAGGGUCGCGGAAUUCCCGGUGUAGAGGUGAAAUUCGUAGAUAUCGGGAGGAACACCAGUGGCGAAGGCGGCGACCUGGGCCAAUACUGACGCUGAGGUGCGAAAGCGUGGGGAGCAAACAGGA
rnacentral:rRNA from 1 species